rnacentral:miRNA from 1 species
UGAAGGAAGAUUUGUGGAAAG